GCGAACGCUGGCGGUAGGCCUAACACAUGCAAGUCGAACGGCAGCACAGUAAGAGCUUGCUCUUACGGGUGGCGAGUGGCGGACGGGUGAGGAAUACAUCGGAAUCUACCUUUUCGUGGGGGAUAACGUAGGGAAACUUACGCUAAUACCGCAUACGACCUACGGGUGAAAGCAGGGGAUCUUCGGACCUUGCGCGAUUGAAUGAGCCGAUGUCGGAUUAGCUAGUUGGCGGGGUAAAGGCCCACCAAGGCGACGAUCCGUAGCUGGUCUGAGAGGAUGAUCAGCCACACUGGAACUGAGACACGGUCCAGACUCCUACGGGAGGCAGCAGUGGGGAAUAUUGGACAAUGGGCGCAAGCCUGAUCCAGCCAUACCGCGUGGGUGAAGAAGGCCUUCGGGUUGUAAAGCCCUUUUGUUGGGAAAGAAAAGCAGCAGGUUAAUACCCCGCUGUUCUGACGGUACCCAAAGAAUAAGCACCGGCUAACUUCGUG
rnacentral:rRNA from 1 species